AGUCUCCUGCCUUCUUCGGCACAUACUAUGCUCUCGGAGUCCGAAAGGCUGCUGAUUUUGCUGCUCCAAGCACAGGUGGACAAGAAUAAAGUGUCAGGAAUGUCAAGCAAAGAAGAGAAAAGAAGACAUGUCACUGAAGAUUGCAGAGAAGGAAAGGGACUCUGGGCACAGUAACCUCCCUGUAUUCAGGCCUCAAGUCAUGUAAUGGCACUGUAUGGGGCCCUCGAGCCUUUUGAUACCUUGAGCUGCAUGACCGCCCUGUAAGCAGGGUACAGGUCUGUUUGUUUUUUGUCCUUUUGACAUUAUGCUCCGUUAGCUGGCUAGUGAGAGUGACUGCCCUGUAACCAGGGUGCAAGUCACCUCCGCCUGGUUUUCGAGGGACAUUGAGUUCUUUGGUAACUUGAGCAAUGUGACCCCCCUGUAACUAGGGUCUAGAUCUUUGCCCACUUGCUCAUUCGGCAUUACACCCACUAGUCAGCGUGACAACCCUGUAAUCAGGGUGCAUGUCACAAAUAUCUACAGAAUAGGACAUUUUGAACCCUUUGAUACUUUGAGGAGCUUGACCUUCCUGUAAUUCAGGUUACGUAUUCAGAUUAGCUAUUUGGCUAAUCCCAGUGACCACCCUGUAAUCAGGGUACAGGUUGCAUCUAUCUUUUGAAAUCUGGAGGAUUAGAACCAUUUGUGUAACCUGGGCAGCUUGACCUCCCUGUAACCAGGGUUUGAGUCUCUGAGGCCCUUUGGUCUCUUGGCCCUGUGCUUUCUUCACAGCCUGAGGCGAGUGACCGCCCUGUAAUCAGGGAUCUGGUCUUUGCGCUAUAGUCUCUUGUCACUAGGACAAGUGCAGCCAACUGUUCUGAAUGAGUACCCUGUAAAUAGGGUACAGGUCUCAUCAGACCCUCCUUCUGGUGCCCCAUGUAACUGUUUCCAGAGUCCUGGGCCUUCGCACUGUUUCCAACUUUCCUGGAAUUCUGCAUCCAAGUUUCCUGCCUUCUUUCCCACUUUCUGGGAUCUUAGAGAUCUGAUAUCCAUCUACUGUUUCUGGAGAAUUGGACAAAAUGGAAGUACACAACCAAAAAAACAAGAAAAGAGAAGCUAAAGGCCUGUGAAACAUAAGAAAGGAAACAAAUGCUGAGAGCAAAGUAUAAUUGUGUGAAUUUUUUCAAAGGUUUAUACCAUGUCCAGCAGCAUGGUAUAUGAGUGCAUUGGAAGGACAAAUUGAACAAAAUGACUAGCAUCUGUCACCUGUCAAAUGCUGAUUCAUGUUAAUAGACAGUAUAUAACAAACUCUAAAGCUCAAUUACUUGUGGCACCACAACACUGCAUGAAGACUAGAGAAUAGUUUCCUGCUACGACCUUUCAGUUCUGUAACUACCUGUGCCACACAAGAACUGAUAUGUCAUCUUAUUUUAUAAUCACCUAUGUCAUCUCAAAUUGUCUUUUACUAAUGAAUCCAUAAAGUAUGCUUUUGUGUAUCAUACUUUCUUAUGCAGAUAGAAAAGCAGGAUGUAUUUUUUUAUUUAAUUCAUGAAAUUUAAUCUUUACCAUUCUUUCAUGAGUCAUUUUCAUGUCAUUGCUUGGUCAUUUGGUCUUCUGUUUAGUAAGCACUCAGUUUUACUUUCUUAAAGUCUGCUGCCUACUCCAAGUUGUUCAAAGCUCAAGAACUAUUUGAAAAGGAUCGAAGAAAACUGAGAUGUAGGGUGGCCACCCUGAAGGGUGUUGGGAAACCUUUUUCAGUAGGCACACUAUUCAUCUUUCUCCUUUCUCUCAUCCCAGAAAAAGUCCAUUUUUGAUACCAAAUCAGUACCAUAGCUAUGAUGCCAUAUGGAACUGAGCUAAGUUUCUACCUAUGGCCAAUGAGAAAUUGUCAGUAGAACUGAUUAUUUGAAUCUAAAUGUUGAUUUCAUGUACAUACGUAACCAAGUAUUUAAAAUGUAUGUUUUACCAAGGUGACUACCUGAUUUUAUGUAAAACAGUUACACACAUAUUAGAAAAUAUAUUCCUUUGAUUUAAGUGUGUGACUUAUAUAGUUGAGUGACUAAUGCUUUAUAUACUCUUUAUUUUUACUAACAGGUUUGUCACUAGAUACCAAGGAAUAAUUGUAAAUCUGUAAUACAGAGACAUUAAACACAGAAGCACUACAGGAUCAUAGCUCACUAUUAUUAAUAAAUCAGAAUUUCCUACUCUAAGUGCAAAGAUAUAACUGAAGGGAGGGCAUGUGUUUGUAUUCUCCACUCACUUCCAAGGCUCCCCCCCCCCCAGCAAAAAAACCUGGUCAAGGUUGAAAAGAUGACCGUUUACUCCAGCUAACAUCUAACAAUAUUUUGAAAGCUCUGUAUCUCUCACACAUUGCUAAAAACAAACAAACAAAACUAAAUGUUAUUCUGGAAACUGGCAGUUACUCCCCCCACGUCACAACUUUCAAACAUCUAUUCUACUUAAACAGUCACACCAACCAAACUGUACCACACAUUCAAUUUUAACUUUGCACCUAUUGUGUUAGAACAAGUAGACUAUUUUUUGGUAGUUGGGUAUAUUGAUGUACGUGGUAAUAGUGGUGUUUUAAUGGGUUUUUAUGCUUAUUGAAUUAAGUGGAUGCUCAAGGAUGAUGAUGUGGAUGUUUUAUGUAGGUAUUUUUCUAUGAAGUGUUAGUAUUUUUGUAGAGGUGCAGAAUUGUGAUUGUGGCUGUUUUUCAGAUUUUGGUGUAGUGUCAAUUGUUGAAAAUUUUAGAUGUUUUUGUAUAUGUACAUUAUUAGAUGUAUUUAGAGGGCAAAGUUGAGGUUGUCUGUUUGGUACAAUUUUAUUGGUGUGAAAGUUAAUUUAGGGUAGGUGUUUGAAAUCACUUAGGUUUGAAUUUUAAACUCGACAGGGAUCCAGGACCCACCUGGCUACCUCAGUUCUUAUUGUCAUUCCUAAUUUCAAAAUCUGGGAUGAAGAUGACCUGGCAGAAUAAAGAUAUAUCCAGAUACUUUCAAGAAUUUAGCAUUUCUGCAGCAUUAGGGGAUCCCUUAAACCUUAUUGAGCUUUUUAAAGUGUAAUUGUGGAAAACUCUUAACUUCUACUUCUGCCAGUUAAGUGUUGACCUGUAUUAAAAGAUUUAUACUGGUAGUUGAUUCUGUGCUCCCUAAGAUGAUUUUGCUAAAAUCGCCACUUUAUGAUGUGAGAAAUGAAUUAACUAGGUUUUAUUAUACCUACUUGAUAAAAGUUGGAAUAUUCCAUGUUAAAUUCAUAGAUUUAGCUUUAUGACUGUCAUAUCACCUUAUUUUGCUUUCUGUAACUCUGUAAUAAUA